CGAUGCUUCAGACAAAGGGUACUAUAGAGUUAAUUUCACAUCCAUCCAGAAGAUUUAAAGUAACAACUUUAAUGUUCACGUAAACGUUCAGUGAAAUGUAAUUAUAAUAAUAUAUAUACAGGAAAAAUUAUAAAAUAAACGAAACGGUUUAUAAGAAGAAAACAAAUUCUAGUGUUGAAACAUACCUUUGGAAUUUGGAAUGUCAGUAAUUAUGAUGGAAAAAGAAGAAAAACCGAAAAAAAGGGGGAACAAAUCCUACCCCAGAACAAAAAAGGUUUUGUUGGGGGAAAGGUUCAGCUGUCGUUCGCUACGUCACCUGGCAGUUGGAUACAAAAAGGCACAAAAUCAGACGAUAGAAGCUGGCCAUCAUUAAUGAUAACGUAACACAAUCUACGACGUCACAAGUCAACUACUGUUGUCUACGUCAUCAGUGCAUCGCAAUGAACAGUUAGUCUUCAGACGUGAAAUGUAAACAAUACGAAUUUACUUCCAACUUAAAUGCUUUCACGCAAGUUUAGCAUCUUUGAACGUAAUUGAAAUAAUAGUACCGGAGUAUAAUUGAGUGUGAGGAAUCAGUCAGAUAAGAAAAAUGAUGGACGUUUGUGCACGUCACUUCCACCAGAAGACAAUCUCUCGAACACGUGGUCUUCUACAGAAGCUGAAAUCUCGAGCAAGUGACUUGGUACAGAAGCCCAACUCUCGGGCAGGAGACUUGGUACAGAAGAUGAACUAUCGGACACGCUGUCUUGUGAAGAAGCUAAAAUUUCAGAUUGCAGUUGUCACACAAGAACAUUAACACUACAGAAGCAGUUCGCCUAACAUGACAUGAACGUGUCGCUUCAUGGUGUUGUUCCCUUAAACGUCAACAGUAAAAAAACCCUCAGAAAAUGUGAGUUGUAAGGAAAAUCCAAACUAUUUGAAUAAAUUCCAUCUGUUCUGCCAACA